AAAUUGAAGAGUUUGAUCAUGGCUCAGAUUGAACGCUGGCGGCAGGCCUAACACAUGCAAGUCGAGCGGUAGCACAGAGAGCUUGCUCUCGGGUGACGAGCGGCGGACGGGUGAGUAAUGUCUGGGAAACUGCCUGAUGGAGGGGGAUAACUACUGGAAACGGUAGCUAAUACCGCAUAACGUCGCAAGACCAAAGUGGGGGACCUUCGGGCCUCAUGCCAUCAGAUGUGCCCAGAUGGGAUUAGCUAGUAGGUGGGGUAACGGCUCACCUAGGCGACGAUCCCUAGCUGGUCUGAGAGGAUGACCAGCCACACUGGAACUGAGACACGGUCCAGACUCCUACGGGAGGCAGCAGUGGGGAAUAUUGCACAAUGGGCGCAAGCCUGAUGCAGCCAUGCCGCGUGUGUGAAGAAGGCCUUCGGGUUGUAAAGCACUUUCAGCGGGGAGGAAGGCGGUAAGGUUAAUAACCUUGCCGAUUGACGUUACCCGCAGAAGAAGCACCGGCUAACUCCGUGCCAGCAGCCGCGGUAAUACGGAGGGUGCAAGCGUUAAUCGGAAUUACUGGGCGUAAAGCGCACGCAGGCGGUCUGUCAAGUCGGAUGUGAAAUCCCCGGGCUCAACCUGGGAACUGCAUUCGAAACUGGCAGGCUAGAGUCUUGUAGAGGGGGGUAGAAUUCCAGGUGUAGCGGUGAAAUGCGUAGAGAUCUGGAGGAAUACCGGUGGCGAAGGCGGCCCCCUGGACAAAGACUGACGCUCAGGUGCGAAAGCGUGGGGAGCAAACAGGAUUAGAUACCCUGGUAGUCCACGCCGUAAACGAUGUCGAUUUGGAGGUUGUGCCCUUGAGGCGUGGCUUCCGGAGCUAACGCGUUAAAUCGACCGCCUGGGGAGUACGGCCGCAAGGUUAAAACUCAAAUGAAUUGACGGGGGCCCGCACAAGCGGUGGAGCAUGUGGUUUAAUUCGAUGCAACGCGAAGAACCUUACCUGGUCUUGACAUCCACAGAACUUUCCAGAGAUGGAUUGGUGCCUUCGGGAACUGUGAGACAGGUGCUGCAUGGCUGUCGUCAGCUCGUGUUGUGAAAUGUUGGGUUAAGUCCCGCAACGAGCGCAACCCUUAUCCUUUGUUGCCAGCGGUUAGGCCGGGAACUCAAAGGAGACUGCCAGUGAUAAACUGGAGGAAGGUGGGGAUGACGUCAAGUCAUCAUGGCCCUUACGACCAGGGCUACACACGUGCUACAAUGGCAUAUACAAAGAGAAGCGACCUCGCGAGAGCAAGCGGACCUCAUAAAGUAUGUCGUAGUCCGGAUUGGAGUCUGCAACUCGACUCCAUGAAGUCGGAAUCGCUAGUAAUCGUAGAUCAGAAUGCUACGGUGAAUACGUUCCCGGGCCUUGUACACACCGCCCGUCACACCAUGGGAGUGGGUUGCAAAAGAAGUAGGUAGCUUAACCUUCGGGAGGGCGCUUACCACUUUGUGAUUCAUGACUGGGGUGAAGUCGUAACAAGGUAACCGUAGGGGAACCUGCGGUUGGAUCACCUCCUUACCUUAAAGAA
rnacentral:rRNA from 1 species